AUUCUUUGCCGGAUAGCCGCCCGCCGCAAUGCGCAAGCUUUGGGCGCGGGAGGAAAGUCCGAGCACUAUUUGAGAAGUUGGAAAUGAGAGAUUAGAAGUGAGAAGUUUCUCACAUCUAACUUCCAACAUCCCACCUCUCAUUUUGAGGCAGUGGCUAACGGCCACCCGCCUUCGCUAAAGCUUCGGCGGGCAAGCGCUCGCAGCAGAAUUGGCAAGGCGCGAGAGAGUGUCACAGAGACAAUACCGCGGAUCCCGCACCAUUUUUGUUGAAUUUUGGUUAAUUGCCAAAAUCCUUCUCUUCAAAUGGUGCGGGACGCAAGGGUGAAAAGAGGUGAGGUAAAAGCUCACAGCAUGCGUUGGCGACAGCGCAUGGUGAAAAACACUUGCCCGGUGCAACCCUAUUAAACGGGGGCUAGAGCCCGAGAGCAAUCGAGGGCCCAGACAGAUGGCUAUUUAAACAGAACUCGGCUUAUGAGCGGAGAAUCUAA
rnacentral:RNase_P_RNA from 3 species